rnacentral:rRNA from 1 species
GGCGGACGGGUGAGUAACGCGUGAGGAACCUGCCUUUCAGAGGGGGACAACAGUUGGAAACGACUGCUAAUACCGCAUAACGCGUAGAGGUCGCAUGGCCUUUACGCCAAAGAUUUAUCGCUGAAAGAUGGCCUCGCGUCUGAUUAGCUAGUUGGUGAGGUAACGGCCCACCAAGGCGACGAUCAGUAGCCGGACUGAGAGGUUGAACGGCCACAUUGGGACUGAGAUACGGCCCAGACUCCUACGGGAGGCAGCAGUGGGGAAUAUUGGGCAAUGGGCGCAAGCCUGACCCAGCAACGCCGCGUGAAGGAAGAAGGCUUUCGGGUUGUAAACUUCUUUUGUCAGGGACGAGCAGAAGACGGUACCUGACGAAUAAGCCACGGCUAACUACGUGCCAGCAGCCGCGGUAAUACGUAGGUGGCAAGCGUUGUCCGGAUUUACUGGGUGUAAAGGGCGUGUAGCCGGGUCGGCAAGUCAGAUGUGAAAUCCACGGGCUUAAACUCGUGAACUGCAUUUGAAACUGUUGAUCUUGAGUAUCGGANAGGCAAUCGGAAUUCC